rnacentral:rRNA from 1 species
AGUCGUAACAAGGUCUCCGUAGGUGAACCUGCGGAGGGAUCAUUACACAAAUAUGAAGGCGGGCUGGAACCUCUCGGGGUUACAGCCUUGCUGAAUUAUUCACCCUUGUCUUUUGCGUACCUCUUGUUUCCUUGGUGGGUUCGCCCACCACUAGGACAAACAUAAACCUUUUGUAAUUGCAAUCAGCGUCAGUAACAAAUUAAUAAUUACAACUUUCAACAACGGAUCUCUUGGUUCUGGCAUCGAUGAAGAACGCAGCGAAAUGCGAUAAGUAGUGUGAAUUGCAGAAUUCAGUGAAUCAUCGAAUCUUUGAACGCACAUUGCGCCCUUUGGUAUUCCAAAGGGCAUGCCUGUUCGAGCGUCAUUUGUACCCUCAAGCUUUGCUUGGUGUUGGGCGUCUUGUCUCUAGCUUUGCUGGAGACUCGCCUUAAAGUAAUUGGCAGCCGGCCUACUGGUUUCGGAGCGCAGCACAAGUCGCACUCUCUAUCAGCAAAGGUCUAGCAUCCAUUAAGCCUUUUUUUUCAACUUUUGACCUCGGAUCAGGUAGGGAUACCCGCUGAACUUAAGCAUAUCAAUAGAAGUAAAAGUCG